rnacentral:rRNA from 1 species
CAAUAGCGUAUAUUAAAGUUGUUGCGGUAAAAAAGCUCGUAGUUGGAUCUCUGUUGAGAGCGACCGGUCCAUACCAUGUAUGCGUAUCUGGCUUGCUCUCGGCAUCCUCUCGAUAGACGUUACUGCGCUUGAUUGCGUGGUGCGGAUCUCGGGACUUUUACUUUGAGGAAAUUAGAGUGUUCACGGCAGGCUUUCGCCAGAAUACAUUAGCAUGGAAUAAUACUAUAGGAUCUUGGUUCUAUUUUGUUGGUUUCUAGAAUUGAGAUAAUGAUUAAUAGGGACAAUUGGGGGCAUUCGUAUCAACACGUCAGAGGUGGAAUUCUUGGAUUGUGUUGCGACGAACUACUGCGAAAGCAUUUGCCAAGGAUGUUUUCAUUGA